GUUGGCCGGGUUAGCAUAGCGCCACCCGGCACCCUUUCUUUCUUUUAAAUCUGGAGUUUUAAAAUGUCUCUAAGCGUUGAAGCUAAAGCAAAAAUCGUUUCUGAGUUUGGUCGUGGCGAA
rfam:Marine metagenome 1096626468039, whole genome shotgun sequence.